ACCCGAUGCAAACUACGAAUACCGAAGAAUGUUAUCACGGGAGACACACGGCGGGUGCUAACGUCCGUCGUGAAGAGGGAAACAACCCAGACCGCCAGCUAAGGUCCCAAAGUCAUGGUUAAGUGGGAAACGAUGUGGGAAGGCACAGACAGCCAGGAUGUUGGCUUAGAAGCAGCCAUCAUUUAAAGAAAGCGUAAUAGCUCACUGGUCGAGUCGGCCUGCGCGGAAGAUGUAACGGGGCUAAACCAUGCACCGAAGCUGCGGCAGCGACRCUUAUGYGUUGUUGGGUAGGGGAGCGUUCUGUAAGCCGUUGAAGGUGUGCUGUGAGGCAUGCUGGAGGUAUCAGAAGUGCGAAUGCUGACAUAAGUAACGAUAAAGCGGGUGAAAAGCCCGCUCGCCGGAAGACCAAGGGUUCCUGUCCAACGUUAAUCGGGGCAGGGUGAGUCGACCCCUAAGGCGAGGCCGAAAGGCGUAGUCGAUGGGAAACAGGUUAAUAUUCCUGUACUUGGUGUUACUGCGAAGGGGGGGACGGAGAAGGCUAUGUCAGCCGGGCGACGGUUGUCCCGGUUUAAGCAUGUAGGCGGAGGUUCCAGGUAAAUCCGGUACCUUAUUAACGCUGAGGUGUGAUGACGAGGCACUACGGUGCUGAAGUGAUAAAUGCCCUGCUUCCAGGAAAAGCCUCUAAGCAUCAGGUAACACGAAAUCGUACCCCAAACCGACACAGGUGGUCAGGUAGAGAAUACCAAGGCGCUUGAGAGAACUCGGGUGAAGGAACUAGGCAAAAUGGUGCCGUAACUUCGGGAGAAGGCACGCUGAUGUGUAGGUGAAGCCCCUGCGGGCGGAGCUGAAAUCAGUCGAAGAUACCAGCUGGCUGCAACUGUUUAUUAAAAACACAGCACUGUGCAAACACGAAAGUGGACGUAUACGGUGUGACGCCUGCCCGGUGCCGGAAGGUUAAUUGAUGGGGUUAGCGGCAACGCGAAGCUCUUGAUCGAAGCCCCGGUAAACGGCGGCCGUAACUAUAACGGUCCUAAGGUAGCGAAAUUCCUUGUCGGGUAAGUUCCGACCUGCACGAAUGGCGUAAUGAUGGCCAGGCUGUCUCCACCCGAGACUCAGUGAAAUUGAACUCGCUGUGAAGAUGCAGUGUACCCGCGGCAAGACGGAAAGACCCCGUGAACCUUUACUAUAGCUUGACACUGAACACUGGUCCUUGAUGUGUAGGAUAGGUGGGAGGCUUUGAAGCGUGGACGCCAGUCUGCGUGGAGCCGCCCUUGAAAUACCACCCUUUAAUGGCUGGUGUUCUAACGUAGACCCGUGAUCCGGGUUGCGGACAGUGUCUGGUGGGUAGUUUGACUGGGGCGGUCUCCUCCCAAAGAGUAACGGAGGAGCACGAAGGUUGGCUAAUCCUGGUCGGACAUCAGGAGGUUAGUGCAAUGGCAUAAGCCAGCUUGACUGCGAGCGUGACGGCGCGAGCAGGUGCGAAAGCAGGUCAUAGUGAUCCGGUGGUUCUGAAUGGAAGGGCCAUCGCUCAACGGAUAAAAGGUACUCCGGGGAUAACAGGCUGAUAC
rnacentral:rRNA from 1 species